GCAGUCGCCGCGGGAAUACGAAGGGUGCAAGCGUUACUCGGAAUUACUGGGCGUAAAGCGUGCGUAGGUGGUGGUUUAAGUCCGUUGUGAAAGCCCUGGGCUCAACCUGGGAAUUGCAGUGGAUACUGGGUCACUAGAGUGUGGUAGAGGAUAGUGGAAUUUCCGGUGUAGCAGUGAAAUGCGUAGAGAUCGGAAGGAACAUCUGUGGCGAAGGCGACUAUCUGGGCCAACACUGACACUGAGGCACGAAAGCGUGGGGAGCAAACAGGAUUAGAUACCCCCGUAGUCCCUGUCUCUUAUAC
rnacentral:rRNA from 1 species